rnacentral:rRNA from 1 species
UCGAACGAUGAACCCGCUUCGGUGGGGGAUUAGUGGCGAACGGGUGAGUAACACGUGGGCAAUCUGCCCUUCACUCUGGGACAAGCCCUGGAAACGGGGUCUAAUACCGGAUACGACCACUUCAGGCAUCUGAUGGUGGUGGAAAGCUCCGGCGGUGAAGGAUGAGCCCGCGGCCUAUCAGCUUGUUGGUGAGGUAAUGGCUCACCAAGGCGACGACGGGUAGCCGGCCUGAGAGGGCGACCGGCCACACUGGGACUGAGACACGGCCCAGACUCCUACGGGAGGCAGCAGUGGGGAAUAUUGCACAAUGGGCGAAAGCCUGAUGCAGCGACGCCGCGUGAGGGAUGACGGCCUUCGGGUUGUAAACCUCUUUCAGCAGGGAAGAAGCGAAAGUGACGGUACCUGCAGAAGAAGCGCCGGCUAACUACGUGCCAGCAGCCGCGGUAAUACGUAGGGCGCAAGCGUUGUCCGGAAUUAUUGGGCGUAAAGAGCUCGUAGGCGGCUUGUCACGUCGGAUGUGAAAGCCCGAGGCUUAACCUCGGGUCUGCAUUCGAUACGGGCAGGCUAGAGUGUGGUAGGGGAGAUCGGAAUUCCUGGUGUAGCGGUGAAAUGCGCAGAUAUCAGGAGGAACACCGGUGGCGAAGGCGGAUCUCUGGGCCAUUACUGACGCUGAGGAGCGAAAGCGUGGGGAGCGAACAGGAUU